rnacentral:tRNA from 1 species
GCCGGGAUAGCUCAGCUGGGAGAGCAGUAGACUGAAGCAGUUACCUUAUAUAGGUGUUCUAAAGGUCCCGUGUUCGAUCCACGGUCCUGGCA